AAGGAGCGUGUGGCGUAGUAACG
rnacentral:miRNA from 1 species